CAGUAUGUAAGGUAAAGUCCUCAGAAGGCCAAAGGACCUCUCAAAGGAGGUCAAAGGACAUGGAAAUUUGAAGAGUCCCAAUUUUAAGGUUACAAGAAAAAGAAAAGGCUAAGUUCUCUGUGCUUUAAUUGCUAUUACAUUGUGCUCUUGUGUGUUUUCUGUUCAAAUUGCUUUUAUUUUCUUUGAUUUUCAUAUAUAUCAAUUCAUUUGUUUUCUAUAUUUUCAUCUCUGAAAUGCUCUGAGUAAUCAUAUGCACAUCCUUGUCCUCUUUUUCUUUUGAUCUGCUUUAUUGUUACUUGUUUAAAUUCAAUUGUUUUCUAUCUUUUCGUCUUCGAGGUAUUCUGAAUAGUUGUUUCCGUCUAGAGUUAUUUGCUUGUCCUUGUUUGUCUUAUCUAAUUGCUUUUUAUCUUGUUGAUUUUUCAUUUGUUCAUCUUUGGAAAAUUCUGAAUAGUUGUUAUAUGCUUAUCCUUGUUUUCUUUUGUUUUUGUUUUUGUUUUUGAUCUUCUCUGUUUUUAUUUCUUUAAGUAUAUUAUAUUUUCUAUCUGUUCAUCUUUGAAAUUCUGAGUAGGUUUUUCCAUUUAGAGUCAUAUGACCAUCCUUUUCUUGGUUGCUUUUAAUUUUCUUUACUCAUUUUAAGUUUUUAUCUGCUCAUCUUUGGAAUUAUUCUGAGUAUUUGUUUCUUUGAUUGUCUUUGCAACCUGCUUCUGAAUAAUCUGCUUAACAGUUGAAGUCAUAGUCUAUUUUGUUGAUUUGUUUUAAUUAUUGUGCUGAGCUCAGAAUUAGUCAUAUUUGGAUUGAAAUUGAUACGUGCCAUGUAUUUCUGAAAUUUGUGUUGUUCAGCUUUGUAUUGUUUUUGAGUAAUUUAGUGAUUUUUUCCUGAGUAUAAAUGUUAUAUUGAUUAAAUCCUGACUCUUGGUCAUUUGUUUUUCAUAAUAUGGUAUAAAUCUGCAAUUAAACAAAUUGGCCAUGGCCACCUUUUUAGAGUUUGAUCCUAGUUGAUAAUAAUAAUCUCGGUUUAUGAAUUUAAGUAGUUAACUAGGGUCAGUUUCUGACCCACUAGAUAGGAACCAGGGAUUGAAAAUACUUAGGCAAGUAAUUAGGAAAGAGGACAGGGGUAUUAAGGGUAUUUGAAUAUAGGGAAUCUUGUAACAAACUCCUGGAACAUUCUAGUAAGGGGUCCGAGUACAAUUUCUACCCCAAAACUUAAGGCACAUGUUAGAAAAUCAAGGAUCAUUUAGGCAAAUCUGAAAAUGGGUAAAGCACUAAAAGGAAAAACAAAAGAUUCAUGUUGCCAUAAGGCUUUAGUUAUAAAAGUAACAUCUGAUCAUUUUCAAGAGGAUUUUUUAGAGGAUUUUGGAGGAAUUUUAGGAUUUUUGGUUAGAGCUGAAGAGUAACUUUUCAGAUAUAGAUACACAUUAAGACACACUUUCAUAUAAUAUUCAAUUUAAAUCCAUUUCACUUUUGUUCUUUUGUUUGAGUCUUCUAUAUAAAUCGAAGUUUUGUUCAUGAUAAGUAGAAGAUGGAUUGAUGCAUGUGCGGUUUUGAGCUGUUAGAGAGAUCUGUGCUUUCAUUAUUUGCUCCUCAAAGUUCUGAGUUGCUGGGUUUGCUGGUUAUUUGGAUGUUGUGCUUGCUUGCUACUCUCUUAACUUUGCUAAUAGGUUCUUCUUUUCUAUUGUAGUUCCAUGUAUCAUCUUCACUCAAAUAUGGAAAGCAUAGUUGUGCAUGUUCGAGAUCAAUAUGGAUAAUGAAGAUGAUCUUAUUUUUUGUGUAUCAAUGUUAUAUUAUAAAAGAUAUUAAUUUCAGUAGCAUUUCUGGUAUUGUAAUAGACAUAAAUGUGUAAUAAUGUUGGACUGUGCUUAGACUAUAACUUUAAU
rnacentral:lncRNA from 1 species